AGAAGGAUCCUUUGAUUCUGUGGUUGAUGGAUGUGAUGGAGUAUUUCAUACAGCAUCCCCAGUUGUGAUGAUAGUUGACGAUCCCCAGUUGGGAUUCUUCAAGAGUUUGGGAGGUGGGAGGAGUCCUAGAGGGAGAGCACUGUGCAGAGAGACCAACUUAGCUGGCUAAUGGAUUAUUCGGCUUCAGAGAAAUGCUUGGAUACAUCAGAACAUGAGAAAAUCUUUCAUUGACUUGUGUGCUAAUGUCUAUUAUCCCACAACUCUUUGAAUGCUUGUCACUGUAGAGUUCUUUAGGUUCCCUUAAAUGUAUAUACAUUCUUUUUUGGAUCAGAGAUCAAUAUGCCUUCCCGUCGAAGAGUGGUUUUGUGCUGGAGGAGGCACUGCCUGUGCUAUUUCUAGACUCCUGACUGUGGCCAGUCCACUCUGCACUUUUUUCAGUUUCCGGACACAACAUGUUAUACAAUUAACAUACCAGCUUCUAUGUGAUCGAAUUCAGCUCCACCUCAAUCAUUGGAAUUAGCAGCAUGCCAACAAUCACAGUGUGGGCACCAGUUUUAGUUAUUCACCUGCCUUGCUUUUCUGGUGAAGUCAGGCAGCAUCUUUUCAUUUCAGAAUGUGGCAUGCUGUUGUUUGUGACUUUUUGGCCAUCAGAGCAAUUGUGGAUGGCCCUUCAAUAGACAAAACUUUAUAGGUGUGUGUUUGUGCCAAAUCAAGGGUCAAGUUAUGAAUGAAAA